GACGAACGCUGGCGGCGUGCUUAACACUUGCAAGUCGAACGGAAAGGCCCUGCUUUUGUGGGGUGCUCGAGUGGCGAACGGGUGAGUAACACGUGAGUAACCUGCCCUUGACUUUGGGAUAACUUCAGGAAACUGGGGCUAAUACCGGAUAGGAGCUCCUGCUGCAUGGUGGGGGUUGGAAAGUUUCGGCGGUUGGGGAUGGACUCGCGGCUUAUCAGCUUGUUGGUGGGGUAGUGGCUUACCAAGGCUUUGACGGGUAGCCGGCCUGAGAGGGUGACCGGCCACAUUGGGACUGAGAUACGGCCCAGACUCCUACGGGAGGCAGUAGUGGGGAAUAUUGCACAAUGGGCGGAAGCCUGAUGCAGCAACGCCGCGUGCGGGAUGACGGCCUUCGGGUUGUAAACCGCUUUCGCCUGUGACGAAGCGUGAGUGACGGUAAUGGGUAAAGAAGCACCGGCUAACUACGUG
rnacentral:rRNA from 1 species